UACGUAGGGUGCAAGCGUUGUCCGGAUUUAUUGGGCGUAAAGAGCGUGUAGGCGGCCAGGUAGGUCGGUUGUGAAAACUGGAGGCUCAACCUUCAGAGGUCGACCGAAACCAUCUGGCUAGAGUCCGGGAGAGGAGAGUGGAAUUCCUGGUGUAGCGGUGAAAUGCGCAGAUAUCAGGAAGAACACCCGUGGCGAAAGCGGCUCUCUGGAACGGUACUGACGCUGAGACGCGAAAGCGUGGGGAGCAAACAGG
rnacentral:rRNA from 1 species